UAUUGUGUUGGGACUUAUGAUGCUGGGAAAUGUUAAAGCUGGUACUUUAAAAAAAUUUUAAUUUUUAUGGUACAUAGUAGGUGUAUAUAUUUAUGGGGUACAUGAGAUGUUUUAAUACAGGCAUGCAAUGUGAAAUAAGCACAUUUUGGAAAAUGGGGUUUCUAUCCCCUCAAACAUUUAUUUUUUGAGUUACAAACAAUCCAAUUAUUCUCUUUAAGGUAUUUUAAAAUACUUAAUUGAAUUAUUAUUGACUAUAGUUACCUUGUUGUGCUGUCCAAUAGUAGGUCUUAUUCAUUCUUUUAAAAUAUUCUUAUUUUGUAUCCAUUAACCACCCCACCUCCCCCGCCACCCUCCCACUACCCAUCUCUGCCUCUGGUAACCAUCCUUCUAUUCUCUAUGUCCAUGAGUUCAAUUGUUUUGAUUUUUAGAUCCCACAGAUAAGUGAGAACAUACGAUGUUUGUCUUUCUGUGCCUGGCUUAUUUCACUUAGAAUAAUGAUCUCCAGUUCCAUCCAUGUUGUUGCAAAUGACUGGAUCUCAUUCUUUUUUAAGGCCGAAUAGUACUCCAUUUGUGUGUAUGUACCACAUCUUCUUUAUCCAUUGAUCUGUUGAUGCACAUGCAUGCAAAUCUUUUUUUUUGCAAAUCUUAAUUAGUGUAAAUAGUGCUGCAACAAACAUAGGAGUGCAUAGAUCUCUUUGAUAUACUGAUUUCCUCUCUUUUCGGUAUAUACCCAGGAGUGGGAUUGCUGGAUCAUAUGGUAGCUCAAUUUUUAGUUUUUUGAGGAACCUCUAAACUGUUCUCCAUAGUGGCUGUAGUAAUUUACAUUACCACCAACAGCAUACAAGGAUUCCCUCUUCCCUUUUCUCUACAUCCUUGCCAGCAUUUGUUGUUGAAAGCUGGCACAUUCUUGUUACUGAGAACCAAGAAUGGAUACCUGGGAAAAAUAUAUCAAGUAGUAUUCCUAAUUGUUCAAUGGCCAGUUUUUCUUGUCUGAUUAUUUCUUCAGCUAAUAAGAAGUACCAUCUGGCUGCUGUGGACAGAAGGAUGGGAUGUGCUAUAGUAGAAAAUAAAAUAUUGUGUAGAUUACAACUUCUUCAAAGGAAAACCUGUCAGGGAAUAUUAAAGAAAUGCUUCUAUUUGGAUAUCUCUUGAAGAAAUAUUAGAACUACAUUGAAAGACUGUUGUUAUUCAAAUUGCUACUUUCUGCUACUAGUCUUCAGAUGACAGUGCAAAAUUGAACAAAGGAGUUUAAAAUCAUAGCCUUGAUCCGAGCCAAGGGGUAGCUACCACAAAGAGAAGCCCUAUAAAGAGAACAAGUUUUAAGCCACAAAUAGUUUCUUCUUCUCCAGACUUUCCUUGAGAUGCCUUCUGAAUACAAGAACUUCCAGAGUAGCGUGUCCAAAUAAUUGGAAACUUAUACUCAUUUUUACUCUAAUUCUAUAAUUGACAUAAUUAAGGACUUCUUUUCAUAAAACAUAGACGCAGAAGAACCCAACUCAAAUUUGCCACCUUCGCAGUGAAGAGGGCCAGCAAGUUGUGGGGAAGUUUCAUGGAAGUGAAAGGAAAUUCAAAGAGUACAUGAGCGAUGUCUUACUAACUUCUUUAUGUAUGACCAGAGGAAGACAGGGAAAGGGGGAUAUUUUACUUUGAAAAUGGAUCUACUAUUCUUUCUGAACACAGAAGAAACAAUCAAGAGAAUGGAACACAAUUCAGCAUGAAUCCGGAGUAGAACUCAUGUGGCUAUCAGGGAGAUUAUAGAAGUGUAGCACUUAAUAUUUAAAAAUAUGAAGGUCAUGGGAAAUGCCGACUAAUGGUUUGGCUUCUAAAAAAGGAAGUCAGCCUGGAUUGCUGACCCUUCUUCCAUUUGUUGGAGAGUUACCUCUGAUGAGAGAAUGUUCACGGAGAAAUUAUCCUGUGUAUGUUUACACACACACACACACACACACACACACACACACACACACUCUAGACAUUCAC
rnacentral:lncRNA from 10 species